ensembl:scaRNA small Cajal body-specific RNA 1
UUGCACCUGAUACUGAUCCAGCGGUCCUCAGGCCAGGGUACACUGGUGACUGAGUUCCAUGGCUGUUGGGUUUUCUGGAAGGUGCCACACAAAUGUAUGCCCUGAUGUUUAAGCUCAUGGGUGUAAAGGUGCACUCUUGAGUUAUGGCUCAGAGGCACAUUG